rnacentral:rRNA from 1 species
GACGAACGCUGGCGGCGUGCUUAACACAUGCAAGUCGAACGGAAAGGCCCUGCUUUUGUGGGGUGCUCGAGUGGCGAACGGGUGAGUAACACGUGAGUAACCUGCCCUUGACUUUGGGAUAACUUCAGGAAACUGGGGCUAAUACCGGAUAGGAGCUCCUGCUGCAUGGUGGGGGUUGGAAAGUUUCGGCGGUUGGGGAUGGACUCGCGGCUUAUCAGCUUGUUGGUGGGGUAGUGGCUUACCAAGGCUUUGACGGGUAGCCGGCCUGAGAGGGUGACCGGCCACAUUGGGACUGAGAUACGGCCCAGACUCCUACGGGAGGCAGCAGUGGGGAAUAUUGCACAAUGGGCGGAAGCCUGAUGCAGCAACGCCGCGUGCGGGAUGACGGCCUUCGGGUUGUAAACCGCUUUCGCCUGUGACGAAGCGUGAGUGACGGUAAUGGGUAAAGAAGCGCCGGCUAACUACGUGCCAGCAGCCGCGGUGAUACGUAGGGUGCGAGCGUUGUCCGGAUUUAUUGGGCGUAAAGGGCUCGUAGGUGGUUGAUCGCGUCGGAAGUGUAAUCUUGGGGCUUAACCCUGAGCGUGCUUUCGAUACGGGUUGACUUGAGGAAGGUAGGGGAGAAUGGAAUUCCUGGUGGAGCGGUGGAAUGCGCAGAUAUCAGGAGGAACACCAGUGGCGAAGGCGGUUCUCUGGGCCUUUCCUGACGCUGAGGAGCGAAAGCGUGGGGAGCGAACAGGCUUAGAUACCCUGGUAGUCCACGCUGUAAACGGUGGGUACUAGGUGUGGGGUCCAUUCCACGGGUUCCGUGCCGUAGCUAACGCUUUAAGUACCCCGCCUGGGGAGUACGGCCGCAAGGCUAAAACUCAAAGGAAUUGACGGAGCCCCGCACAAGCGGCGGAGCAUGCGGAUUAAUUCGAUGCAACGCGUAGAACCUUACCUGGGUUUGACAUGGAUCGGGAGUGCUCAGAGAUGGGUGUGCCUCUUUUGGGGUCGGUUCACAGGUGGUGCAUGGCUGUCGUCAGCUCGUGUCGUGAGAUGUUGGGUUAAGUCCCGCAACGAGCGCAACCCUUGUUCACUGUUGCCAGCACGUUAUGGUGGGGACUCAGUGGAGACCGCCGGGGUCAACUCGGAGGAAGGUGGGGAUGACGUCAAGUCAUCAUGCCCCUUAUGUCCAGGGCUUCACGCAUGCUACAAUGGCUGGUACAGAGAGUGGCGAGCCUGUGAGGGUGAGCGAAUCUCGGAAAGCCGGUCUCAGUUCGGAUUGGGGUCUGCAACUCGACCUCAUGAAGUCGGAGUCGCUAGUAAUCGCAGAUCAGCAACGCUGCGGUGAAUACGUUCCCGGG